AUGCAGCGCAAGUGGAAAGUUCCAACCAACAACAAAUUCUAUGACUCCUUGGCCGAUGUUGCAGGUAGCGUCAUCCACCCAUUCUACAAAGGCAUGAAGAAGAAGAUCGACAUGGAGGAAGACCACAAACUGUGGGGGAUCAGCCCGCUGUCAGACAAGCUCAUCGAGUACAUAGGAAUAGAUGCGUACGCCACGUACAAGUCAUGGAAGAUAAUCGACAACAUCAUGACAGGUUGGGAUGUUUCAAAAGAGCAGGAGGCUGACCCCUACUACCACUGCAACUUCGCGGGAUGA
rnacentral:rRNA from 1 species